UACGUAGGGUGCGAGCGUUGUCCGGAAUUACUGGGCGUAAAGAGCUCGUAGGUGGUUUGUCGCGUUGUCCGUGAAAACUCACAACUCAAUUGUGGGCGUGCGGGCCGAUACGGGCAGACUGGAGUACUGCAGGGGGAGACUGGAAUUCCUGGUGUAGCGGUGGAAUGCGCAGAUAUCAGGAGGAACACCGGUGGCGAAGGCGGGUCUCUGGGCCGAUACUGACGCUGAGGAGCGAAAGCGUGGGGAGCGAACAGG
rnacentral:rRNA from 1 species